rnacentral:lncRNA from 10 species
GCACAGCCCAGCCUCAUCAAUGGGGCUCAGAAGUCUCUGCAUGUCAGUGUGAUUGCCUCCAUGUCUCCAGCCUUCUGAUGUGGCUCCUUGCAGGUCCCUGACUGCUUGGCCAAGCCCGGCCCAUGCAUAUGUGUAGAGUCUUGCCUUGGGCCUUCUCGAGUAUCCCUUGAUGUUCUGCCCAGGAGGAGGGUCCCCCGUCUUCACCGAUGGAAUAGGAAGAAUAAUGGCCUCCCAGACACGCCCAUGCCCCAGUCCCCAGCCGCUGUGAGGAUGCUGCCUUGCACGGCCACAGGGACUUUGCAGGUGUGAUGAAGAUAUGGACCCCAAGAUGACAGACCUCCCUGGAUUAAGUGAGCAUAAUGGAAUCACAGGCCCUUAAAAGUGGAAGAAGAAGGCAAAAGAGUCCAAAAGGUGAAGAGGCCAGGUAGACAGAAGCUCUGUGUGGGAGAGGGAGCUGAGCCACCACUGCAGGCUUUAAGGUGGGGGAAGGGUUGAGAACCAGGCCCAUGCCUGAUCUCUAGGAGCUG